AUGAAAGCAGAGGGAGAGACUCUUUUACAAAGAGCGCCGAAGGAGCAAACAGAUCCGUGAAUCUCUCAGGCAAAAAGACUUCUGCCGGACG
rnacentral:ncRNA from 1 species